GAGCCUGACCACCCGAUCCCGUUAGUCGCCUCUUACGACAAGCAUGGGUUUCAUAAGUAGGAAUAUUGACCGGUUGUUCGUAUUACGCUCAAAUUGGCCCGUGUCAAACAAAAUUACCACAUGGUUUAGCAGGGUGCGAUUCGCUACUAACAACCUGCAUUGGUGCAUGUUUAAAAUGGCUGUUGCAGGUGACCUUCAGUAAAGGGUUGCACA